rnacentral:rRNA from 1 species
UACGUAGGGCGCAAGCGUUGUCCGGAAUUAUUGGGCGUAAAGCGCACGUAGGCGGUUCGUUAAGUCGGAUGUGAAAGCCCUCGGCUCAACUGAGGAAGUGCACCCGAAACUGGCGAGCUUGAGUACGAAAGAGGAUCGCGGAAUUCCCGGUGUAGAGGUGAAAUUCGUAGAUAUCGGGAGGAACACCGGUGGCGAAGGCGGUUCUCUGGGCCUUACCUGACGCUGAGGAGCGAAAGCGUGGGGAGCGAACAGG